rfam:complete chromosome Acholeplasma palmae.
GGUUAAGGAACAAAGGGCGCACAGUGAAUGCCUUGGCACUAAGAGCCGAUGAAGGACGCAACUAACAGCGAAAUUCCAUGGGAAGCGGUAAGUACGCGAUGAUCCAUGGGUGUCCGAAUGGGGGAACCCACCAUGUGGAAGACAUGGUAUCCAGCAAUGGAAGGGAAACGCAGUGAACUGAAAUAUCUAAUUAGCUGCAGGAAAAGAAAGUAAAAACGAUUCUGCUAGUAGCGACGAGCGAACGCGGAGGAGCCAGAUACUAUAAUAGUUACAAAACUUUAUGUGAGAAGAAUAACUUGGGAAGGUUAACCAAAGAAGGUGAAAGUCCUGUAAUCGAAGCGUAAAGACUAGAGUAUCAGAAAGUACGGCGAGACACGAGAAAUCUUGUCGGAAGAUGCGAGGACCAUCUCGUAAGGCUAAAUACUACUUAGUGACCGAUAGUGAACCAGUACCGUGAGGGAAAGGUGAAAAGAACCCCGGGAGGGGAGUGAAAUAGAUCCUGAAACUGUGUGCUUACAAUUAGUCAGAGCCCGUUAAUGGGUGAUGGCAUGCCUUUUGUAGAAUGAACCGGCGAGUUACGAUAUUUAGCAAGGUUAAGCUUGAAGGAGUGGAGCCGAAGCGAAAGCGAGUCUGAAUAGGGCGUUAAGUUGAAUGUUGUAGACCCGAAACUGGGUGAGCUAGCCAUGAGCAGGUUGAAGUUUAGGUAAGACUAAAUGGAGGACCGAACCAGGACACGUUAAAAAGUGUUUGGAUGACUUGUGGCUAGGGGUGAAAUUCCAAUCGAACUCAGAGAUAGCUGGUUCUCCUCGAAAUAGCUUUAGGGCUAGCGUUGAAAUGUAAGUUUUAUGAAGGUAGAGCACUGAAUGUGUGAUGGCCCCACCUCGGGGUACUGAACUCAAUCAAACUCCGAAUGUUAUAAAACAUGUUCAGCAGUCAGACUACGGGUGAUAAGGUCCGUGGUCAAAAGGGAAAGAGCCCAGACCGCCAGAUAAGGUCCCAAAAUUGAUGCUAAGUGGAAAAGGAAGUGGAGAUGUCCAAACAACUAGGAGGUUGGCUUAGAAGCAGCCAUCCUUUAAAGAGUGCGUAAUAGCUCACUAGUCGAAUGACUCUGCGCCGAAAAUGUACCGGGGCUAAGCAUCAUACCGAAGCUGCGGAUUUAAAAGAAAUUUUAAGUGGUAGGGGAGCGUUCUAACAGCGAAGAAGCCAUAUCGUGAGGAGUGGUGGAGCGGUUAGAAGUGAGAAUGCCGGUGUAAGUAACGAAAAGAUAGGUGAGAAUCCUAUCCGUCGAAAACCCAAGGUUUCCAGGGGAAGGUUCGUCCGCCCUGGGUUAGUCGGGUCCUAAGGUGAGGCUGAAGAGCGUAGCCGAUGGACAGCAGGUAGAGAUUCCUGCACUAGUUUACAAACUGAUGGAGUGACAGAGGAGGUUAGCAUCGCCCCUUAAUGGAUUGGGGUAGAAAGACUGAGUCUUGUAUGUAGGCAAAUCCGCAUACUCUAAGGGCAAGGUAAGAAAGUAAUGAUGACGAUAUCAAACUCUCGAGAAAAGCUUCUAUGGCUAAUUUGUAAACUACCCGUACCGUAAACCGACACAGGUGGGUGGGUAGAGUAUACUAAGACGCGCGAGAAAACUCUUGUUAAGGAACUCGGCAAAAUGACUCCGUAACUUCGGGAUAAGGAGGACUUUUAAUGAAAAAGAAAAGUCGCAGAGAAUAGGCCCAAGCGACUGUUUAUCAAAAACACAGGUCUCUGCAAAACCGUAAGGUGAAGUAUAGGGGCUGACGCCUGCCCGGUGCUGGAAGAUUAAGAGGAGAUGUCAACGCAAGUGAAGCAUUGAAUUGAAGUCCCAGUAAACGGCGGCCGUAACUAUAACGGUCCUAAGGUAGCGAAAUUCCUUGUCGGGUAAGUUCCGACCCGCACGAAAGGCGUAACGAUUUGGGCACUGUCUCAACAAGAGACUCGGUGAAAUCAAGCUGCCGGUGAAAACGCCGGCUACCCGCGACAGGACGAAAAGACCCCAUGGAGCUUUACUGUAACUUGAUAUUGACAUUGGGUGUAAGAUGUACAGGAUAGGUGGGAGACUGAGAAAUUGGAACGCUAGUUUCGAUGGAGUCACCGUUGGGAUACCACCCUUCGUGCAUCUAGUGUCUAACCCGCGCAAGUGGAUUGCGGGGGACAGUGUCUGGUGGGCAGUUUGACUGGGGCGGUCGCCUCCUAAAGAGUAACGGAGGCGCUCGAAGGUUCACUCAGAAUGGUCGGAAAUCAUUCGUAGAGCGUAAAGGCAGAAGUGAGCUUGACUGAGAGACCUACAAGUCGAUCAGGGACGAAAGUCGGACUUAGUGAUCUUACGGUACCGAAUGGAAGGGCCGUGACUCAACGGAUAAAAGCUACCCUGGGGAUAACAGGCUUAUCGCUUCCAAGCGUUCACAGCGACGAAGCGGUUUGGCACCUCGAUGUCGGCUCGUCGCAUCCUGGAGCUGGAGAAGGUUCCAAGGGUUGGGCUGUUCGCCCAUUAAAGCGGCACGCGAGCUGGGUUCAGAACGUCGUGAGACAGUUCGGUCUCUAUCCGUCGUGGGCGUUGGAAAUUUGAAGGGAGCUGUCCCUAGUAUGAGAAGACCGGGAUGGACAUACCGCUGGUGUACCAGUUGGCCUGCCAGGGCCAUAGCUGGGUAGCUAUGUAUGGAAAGGAUAAACGCUGAAAGCAUCUAAGCGUGAAGCCUACCUUAAGAUGAGAUUUCCCAAUUAGUAAGAUCCCUUAUAGACGAUGAGGUUGAUAGGCUGGGUGUGUAAGUGCCGUGAGGUAUUUAGCUGACCAGUACUAAUAGAUCGAGGACUUAACCUA